UACGAAGGGUGCAAGCGUUAAUCGGAAUUACUGGGCGUAAAGCGCGCGUAGGUGGUUCAGCAAGUUGGAUGUGAAAUCCCCGGGCUCAACCUGGGAACUGCAUCCAAAACUACUGAGCUAGAGUACGGUAGAGGGUGGUGGAAUUUCCUGUGUAGCGGUGAAAUGCGUAGAUAUAGGAAGGAACACCAGUGGCGAAGGCGACCACCUGGACUGAUGCUGACACUGAGGUGCGAAAGCGUGGGGAGCAAACAGG
rnacentral:rRNA from 1 species